GACAACGCUGGCGGCGUGCCUAACACAUGCAAGUCGAACGGAGUUAAGUCUUCGGAUUUAACUUAGUGGCGAACGGGUGAGUAACGCGUGAGGAACCUGCCUUUCAGUGGGGGACAACAGUUGGAAACGACUGCUAAUACCGCAUAACGCAUAGAGGUCGCAUGAUCUUUAUGCCAAGGAUUUAUCGCUGAAAGAUGGCCUCGCGUCUGAUUAGCUAGUUGGUGAGGUAACGGCCCACCAAGGCGACGAUCAGUAGCCGGACUGAGAGGUUGACCGGCCACAUUGGGACUGAGAUACGGCCCAGACUCCUACGGGAGGCAGCAGUGAGGAAUAUUGGUCAAUGGUCUAACGACUGAACCAGCCAUGCCGCGUGAAGGUCACGGCCCUAUGGGUCUUAAACUUCUUUUGUAAGGGAGCAAUAAGCUUUACGUGUAGAGUGAUGAGAGUACCUUACGAAUAAGCAUCGGCUAACUCCGUG
rnacentral:rRNA from 1 species